rnacentral:pre_miRNA from 1 species
AAUAAACCAAUUUUUUAUUUUUUAUCUUUAAUUUUUGACUCUUCGUCUUAUUUAAAUUUUGUUGUGAUUGAUAUUUUUAUUUUUAUUAGAUGAUAAAUCAUGAAUAGUACUUUACGUGUGACUAAUUUUUUUCUAAUUUUCUAAAAUUUUUUUAAAUAAGACGGAUGGUCAAACGUUGGACACAGAAACCACAGAAUUCGUUUUUU